AGUUCAGGGUUCUUUUCACAAAUUUAUUUUACCUCUUUAGAUCAUCAACUUUUAUAUUAUUUUUAAAGAGGAAAAAUACCUGUUAAUAAAAUUGUAAUAAUAAUGGCAAUGACAUAGGCUAAUAUUUAUAGAACAUUUCAUUUUGCAUGGUAUUUUAUGUAUUAGCCCAUUUAACAGAUGAGGAAACUAAGGCACAAAGAAUGGGAUGGCACUGGACCUAAUUUUUUUCAUAUGGAAAACUCCCAAUGAAGGAAUUCUUGCUACCAGAUAAAAAGUAUCAAACACUAUUAUUUAUAAUUGGUAGCAGAGAAUAAGACAUGUAAAAAACAAUGUUAAUUGUGCUGUACAAAUAUUAAUUGGUAUUGAAGUUUAGAGAAAGAAGAGUUUAUGGGAACUUGUGUUCAAAUCCUGGCUCUGCUACUGUAUGACCCUGGGCAGGUCAUUUCCUCUCUAUUGACUUCUCCUAUAAAAUGAGAUGGAAGAAUUAUGUAUCCCUUAUAGCUCUGAAUCCUACUCUGGACUACAGUAGUUGGGAAAGGCUUCAAGAAAAACAUGGGACUUUGGGAAUCAUCCAAAUGGAUAAAAGAUAGGGACAAAAGGGUAGUAUAAACAUUGGCAUCCAGUAUCAACAGUGGUUUACUCAUGGCAUAGAAGUACAAUCCUCCAAACCAAAUAGGAGGUAAACUAAAGGAUAUAAUAUCCCAGGGACCCCAGAGAAAGGAAAUGCUAAUUCUCACUUUUAAAAAGAAAAGGAAAAGUCAGAAUUUUAAAAUACCUACAUAAGCCUUGGAAGCUUGGGAAGAAAUAAUACCCAUGAGUUUCCUGUGAUCAAACACCUGCAGGAAAUCAGAGCAAACCAUGCUGCCUUAUGUUGCUAAGAAACCAAAGAAUCACCAUCUGUUGCCAUGGGGAUAUCACUUUAUCAUCAUUCACCUCCCAGAACAGAUAAAUACAUCCAGAAGGAAUGAAUAUGCAGGCUUAUGGCCCUGAAUAACAAUGCUCCUUGGCUCUGAGCAGCCACUAUACAAAGCAAAAGGCUUAACUCAGACAGUCAAAAAACAUUGGAGGAGAAAGGGGGAAGUUCCAACUGAAAUAGUUCAAGGACCAGUUGUAUUCCUGCUAUUCUUUCAUAUUGAUGUUCUGCACACUGUUUCACAGCUUCCUUGGGGUAACAAGUCCAUAUUUCAGUGGUAUUAUACAAGUUUUUGUUUGGGUACCCUCUAGAUCCAUUUUAUACAUUUUACAAGGUAAGAAGAAUAUGUUCAUGAUGGUAUUGCAGAGGUAUUAAUUGCUCUGAAUGUGAUAUUUUUCCAUUAAACUCUGACUUUAGAAGGUCUUUAAGCCUUUAACUCAAACUACCUCAGCUAUCCCCUUGGUAGCACAAUGUUUGAUUUACCAAGAAAGAUCAGGGUAUUCAUAAGAUUUAUCUUUAUCCAUUUGUUCAAUUUGACCUCUGGAUUCAUUUUCAAAAUCUCCAGUUCCCCAAUGCAUCCUUGAUGAACAUUAAGAAUUUUACACUUAUCAAGUAUGGUAUUUAAAGGGAAUUGUUAGAGGAUUAAAGAGGGACAAGGAAGAAGAAGGUUUGUAACAGGGAAAUGAGGAGUUGAAGGGAGAGAGGGAAUAUGGCUGUUAGUGAGGUAAAAAGGAGAUACCCCCUACUGAGAGGCUAUCUUUGAAAAUUGGGGUUCCUGAGAAAUGGGCCACCAUUGCCUGAGGGGAUGUCUUCUCUAUUGAUUGAUGUUGAAGAUACCCCAGAUCAGGUAAUCAAAGACCCCCGUGAGGGACAAGCCUCUCCCCCAGACCAAGGUUGCCUAGCAGGGGUCCAAUAUGGUUGAAUGACUGUCCUUAGAUUCAGCUCACUCUAUCAUCCUCUGAAAUG
ensembl:lncRNA